rnacentral:rRNA from 1 species
GACGAACGCUGGCGGCGCGCCUAACACAUGCAAGUCGAACGGGAAAGCGGGGCGAACCUACGUGAGUAAAGUAGGCGUACGGGUGGAGUAACAACGUGGAUCAUCUACCCUCCUUGUGGGGGAGUAACCCUACGGGAACCGGGGCGUAAUACCGCAUAAGCUCGAGAGAGGAAAGACAGCAAUGCGCUGGAGGAGGAGUCCGCGGCCGAUUAGCUAGUUGGUAGGGUAAAAGACCUACCAAGGCAUCGAUCGGUAGCCGGCCUGAGAGGGCACACGGCCACACUGGCACUGAAACACGGGCCAGACUCCUACGGGAGGGCAGCAGUGGGGAAGUCUUGCACAAAUGGGGGGCAACCCUGAUGCAGCGACGCCGCGUG